UACGAAGGGGGCUAGCGUUGCUCGGAAUUACUGGGCGUAAAGGGCGCGUAGGCGGGUCGUUUAGUUAGAGGUGAAAGCCCAGGGCUCAACCCUGGAAUUGCCUUUAAUACUGGCGGCCUUGAGUAUGGCAGAGGUGUGUGGAACUCCGAGUGUAGAGGUGAAAUUCGUAGAUAUCGAGAGGAAUACCUGUGGCGAAGGCGGCCAACUGGACGAGUACUGACACUGAGACACGAAAGCGUGGGGAGCGAACGGG
rnacentral:rRNA from 1 species